GUACUUAUUUCAUUUAUAAUUAAUUGUGUGGUGGCCUUUCCGACCAUUUUACUUUAAAAAAAACACUAAAGUCCAUGUUUAUUUUUUCUUUUUUAUUUUAGCACGUAAGGGAAUGGUAAUUUAGGUAGUUAACUAAGUUCCAACUAAAUGAAAACUUGGCUAAAAUGUACGUUGACUUACCAUUUACCAAUUCCAAUCUUUUGGAGA
rnacentral:lncRNA from 1 species